AUUUCACUUCGGUGAUUAGUAAGGUGGCGGACGGGUGAGUAACACGUAAAGAACUUGCCUUGUAGUCUGGGACAACUAUUGGAAACGAUAGCUAAUACCGGAUAUUAUGAUUCUUUCGCAUGGAAGAGUUAUGAAAGCUAUAUGCGCUACGAGAGAGCUUUGCGUCCCAUUAGCUAGUUGGUGAGGUAACGGCUCACCAAGGCGACGAUGGGUAGCCGGCCUGAGAGGGUGAACGGCCACAAGGGGACUGAGACACGGCCCUUACUCCUACGGGAGGCAGCAGUGGGGAAUAUUGGACAAUGGACCGAAAGUCUGAUCCAGCAAUUCUGUGUGCACGAUGAAGGUCUUCGGAUUGUAAAGUGCUUUCAGUUGGGAUGAAAAAAAUGACAGUACCAACAGAAGAAGCGACGGCUAAAUACGUGCCAGCAGCCGCGGUAAUACGUAUGUCGCAAGCGUUAUCCGGAUUUAUUGGGCGUAAAGCGCGUCUAGGUGGUUUGGUAAGUCUGAUGUGAAAAUGCGGGGCUCAACUCCGUAUUGCGUUGGAAACUGCCUAACUAGAGUAUCGGAGAGGUGGGCGGAACUACAAGUGUAGAGGUGAAAUUCGUAGAUAUUUGUAGGAAUGCCGAUAGAGAAGUCAGCUCACUGGACGAAUACUGACACUGAA
rnacentral:rRNA from 1 species